UGUAUUCACUACUGUAAGUCACUCUGGAUAAGAGUGUCUGCUAAAUGACUCAAA
rfam:Salmo salar isolate Sally breed double haploid chromosome ssa09, whole genome shotgun sequence.